GAAUAUUGGACAAUGGGCGCAAGCCUGAUCCAGCCAUGCCGCGUGUGUGAAGAAGGCCUUCGGGUUGUAAAGCACUUUUGUUGGGGAAGAAAAGCCAUGGGCUAAUACCCUGUGGUUCUGACGGUACCCAAAGGAAGCACCGGCUAACUCUGUGCCAGCAGCCGCGGUAAUACAGAGGGUGCGAGCGUUGUUCGGAAUUACUGGGCGUAAAGCGCGCGCAGGCGGAUCCUGUAAGUCGGAAGUGAAAUUUCGGAGCUCAACUCCGAAGCUGCUUCUGAUACUGCGGAUCUGGAGACCGGUAGAGGUCGGUGGAAUUGCUGGUGUAGCGGUGGAAUGCGUAGAGAUCAGCAAGAACACCCGUGGCGAAGGCGGCCGACUGGGCCGGAUCUGACGCUGAGGCGCGAAAGCGUGGGGAGCAAACAG
rnacentral:rRNA from 1 species